UACAGGGGGUGCAAACGUUGCUCGGAAUUAUUGGGCGUAAAGAGCUCGUAGGCGGCUUGUCACGUCGGGUGUGAAAGCCCGGGGCUUAACCCCGGGUCUGCAUUCGAUACGGGCUAGCUAGAGUGUGGUAGGGGAGAUCGGAAUUCCUGGUGUAGCGGUGAAAUGCGCAGAUAUCAGGAGGAACACCAAUGGCGAAGGCAGCUCGCUGGGACGGUACUGACGCUGAGGUGCGAAAGCGUGGGGAGCGAACAGG
rnacentral:rRNA from 1 species